AAAGCCAGAAGUCUGUAUGACCAUGAACAUCAAGUGACUCGUGAAAAAUGCCAUCGCCAUGAUUAGAGCUCUGCCAUCUAUAUCUUUCCUUCACUUUCUCUACCCCCAAAAAAGCUGGGAAACAAAACAUGAGGCAUUAGUUCAUGGCCUUAAGACCUCCAAGAAUCCUGAUGCCUUUCUACAGCAAAGACUGACCACUGUCAAGCGCUGCCCUUAUUGUGGACCAAGAUAACUGCAUGCUAGCUAUUGGCAGUGACCAUUUGACAACUUACCUUCCUGCAACAUUUCUUGAGGGUAUCCUAUAGCAUACUAUUCUGCACUACAUCUAACAUGUCCUAAGUGCAUUGCCGCUGUCCUCUCUGCAGUUCAAACUAAAAUAUUACUGGGCACAAUUUGAAGGGAAAAUACAAAUACUGUAUGCUAGAAGAAAAACUGUGUGAGCCAA